rnacentral:lncRNA from 1 species
ACUUGUUGGCAGUCUAUCCCAGAAACAUACCCCAUUUAUGUGACUUGGAAGUGUCACUAGGAAGACCGCCAUAGCCUCUGCUCCUUCUGCCUAUGCAUUAUAGUAGUAGAGAGAGCAGGAGCAGCCAAUCUGGAGAGGUCGCAAGAUGGGGCUGCCCAAGAUGUUGGAACACGAUGUGCAAUAAAGGGCUUCGUCUUGGAUUUUGGCCUUAUUACCACAAUCAGACUGCCUCCCGUGACUUUUAAUAGCAUGAUGAUCAUACAGACAAAUGGAAUGUAAUUCAUACAAAUAUAUGCAAGGU